AUUGAACGCUGGCGGCAGGCUUAACACAUGCAAGUCGAGCGGAGAUGAGGUGCUUGCACCUUAUCUUAGCGGCGGACGGGUGAGUAAUGCUUAGGAAUCUGCCUAUUAGUGGGGGACAACAUUCCGAAAGGAAUGCUAAUACCGCAUACGUCCUACGGGAGAAAGCAGGGGAUCUUCGGACCUUGCGCUAAUAGAUGAGCCUAAGUCGGAUUAGCUAGUUGGUGGGGUAAAGGCCUACCAAGGCGACGAUCUGUAGCGGGUCUGAGAGGAUGAUCCGCCACCAUGGGACUGAGACACGGCCCAGACUCCUACGGGAGGCAGCAGUGGGGAAUAUUGGACAAUGGGGGGAACCCUGAUCUAGCCAUGCCGCGUGUGUGAAGAAGGCCUUAUGGUUGUAAAGCACUUUAAGCGAGGAGGAGGCUACUGAGACUAAUACUCUUGGAUAGUGGACGUUACUCGCAGAAUAAGCACCGGCUAACUCUGUGCCAGCAGCCGCGGUAACAC
rnacentral:rRNA from 1 species